AACUUAGAGAUAGCUGGUUCUUCGCGAAAUUUAUUGAGGUAAAGCGUUUGAUUUUGAUCAAAAGGGGUAGAGCACUCAUGAAGCUAUGGGGGUCCAAAGCCUUACUGAUCUUCCUGAAACUCCGAAUACUUUGUGAUCGUAAAUCAAACAGACAGACUUAAAGUGCUAAGGUUUUAAGUCAAAAGGGAAACAGCCCAGACUAUUUGCUAAGGUCCUUAAACAAUAAGUAAGUGGUAAAAGAAGUUUUUAUCCAAUGACAACUAGGAAAUUGGCUUGGAAGCAGCCAUUUUAUAAUGAAAGCGUAAUAGCUCACUAGUCAAGGAUAGAAGCGCUGACAAUGUAUCGGGGCUCAACUUAUUUACCGAAGCAAUAGAGAAAAGGUAGCGAAGCGUUUUGUAAACCGAUGAAGAUAUUUUGUGAAAAAUAUUGAAGGAUUCAAAAGUGAGUAUACUGACAUGAGUAACGUAAAAAUCAUGUGAAAAUCAUGAUCGCCGUAAGUUCAAGGGUUUCUGCGAUCUGGAAGUCAACGCAGAGUGAUUCGGCUUCUAAAUUUACUGUGAUUACAGUUAAAUGAUGAAUAUAUGGGAACUGACAAAUGGGGUACGUAUUUUUAUCAAACCGGAUAGAUAGAAAUACGUACCCCAUUUCAGGAAAAGGUCCUAUUUACUCCAAACCGUACCCAAAACCAACACUGGUGAACAAGUCGAAUAGACUCAGGCGUUGAGAUAACCAUGCUGAAGGAACUCGGCAAAAUAUUCCCGUACCUUAGGAAGAAGGGAAACCAAUAUUUAUUGGUGACACAAAAUUGAGGGUGACGACUUUUUACUAAAAAAUUAGGACUCUGCAAAAUGGUAACAUGAAGUAUAGGGUCUGACGUCUGCCCGGUGCUAGAAGCUUAAGAGGAGACUUGGAAGAGUUGAAUUGAAGGCCUAGUAAACGGCGGUUGUAACUAUAACAAUCAUAAAGUAGCGAAAUUCCUUGCCAGCUAAUUCCUGGCCUGCAUGAAAGACGUAACGAUUGCCCUACUGUCUCCAGCAUGGACUCAGUGAAAUUGAAUUUUCCGUGAAGAUGCGGAAAUCGUGCCCCAAGACGAGAAGACCCUAUGCAUCUUUACUAUACAUGUACAUUGAACAAAGCCUUCGAGUAUGUAGGAAAGGUGGGAGUGCACACACCCUUGAAAUACCACCUUCUAGAUGGCUUCAUUCUUAUUGAACACACAAAAAAGUGUACAUCGGGUAGUUUGACUGGGGCGGUCGCCUCCUAAAAAGUAACGGAGGCGUGCGAAGGUAAACUCAAUGGAAGUUGGAAACUUUCUGAAGAAUAUAAUGGUAUAAGUUUGCCUGACUGCAAGACCCAACAAGUCGAGCAGAGACGAAAGUCGGUCAUAGUGAUCCAAAAGUACCGGGUGGAAGGGCUUUUGCUUAACGAAUCAAAGAUACGCUAGGGAUAACAGGCUAAUAA
rnacentral:rRNA from 1 species